rnacentral:rRNA from 1 species
UUAAGUGGAGAGUUUGAUCCUGGCUCAGAGCGAACGCUAGCGGCGCGCCUAACACAUGCAAGUCGAGCGAGAAAGAGGGGGCAACUCCUUGAGUAAAGCGGCGAACGGGUGAGUAAUGCAUGGGUAAUCUACCUAUAAGACUGGGAUAACCUUCCGAAAGGAGGGCUAAUACCGGAUAAGACCACAUGACUUUUGUUGUGGGGUUAAAGAUGGGGAUUCGCAAGAACCUAUCAUUUAUGGAUGAGCCCAUGUCCCAUCAGCUUGUUGGUAGGGUAAUGGCCUACCAAGGCUAAGACGGGUAGCUGGUCUGAGAGGACGAUCAGCCACACUGGCACUGAAACACGGGCCAGACUCCUACGGGAGGCAGCAGUGGGGAAUCUUGCGCAAUGGGCGAAAGCCUGACGCAGCGACGCCGCGUGAGGGAAGAAGGCCUUCGGGUCGUAAACCUCUGUCUAGGGGGAAGAAACUUCUGGAGGAUAAUAUCCUUCAGGAUUGACGGUACC